ensembl:lncRNA
GUGAGUUUAAUACUUUCCAGGGGAGCUGCUUAUGACUAUUAAAUGUCAAGUACCGCCGCUGGCCUGAUACGCGGGGGCAUUACUUAUAAGAGGCCCAGAAAGUGAGCACCUGGCCUCACGGAUAGACCCAGGUGGUCGUGCGGCCCGUCUGGCCAUGGACCACCCUCGUCUGCUUUCAGUGAGUUCGCAGUGCGCAGGCGUGGGUCCUGCGGGCCAUGCGCUGCGCGUGCGCACCGGCUGAAGCCGGGAGCGCUGCCGGGAACAGAGUCAAGGCACGGAGGAUGCGGAGCAGAGGGCAGGGGGAUGAGGGGGCAGCUGGAGCCCAGUUCACUCUUGCAAAGCACUUCCUGAACUGCACAUUCAGUUACCACAAAAUGAGUCAAGGUCCCUUUCAAGUGGCUUAUUGAGCUUCCCUCUGAUCUGGUACAGCCUCCCCAGGAUGGACGGGCCACAGGCUUUCUUGGUGAGCUGUCAGGCCCCGCUCGGGAACCCCUCAACUGGGCACCAAUGCCAGGCUCUGCACAGGCACUGCUUCACUUCUGCCCUACAUCAAACCCACAGUCUGGCCUGGUUCCCAUUUUACAGAUGAGGAAACUGAGGCUCAGAGAGGUUGGGUGAGCGGCCUGGGAUCACACAGUCAGUCAGGGUCAGGGCUGGGAUUUGAUCUUAUGCUUGUCUGGCUCUUACCUGCUAGCUCUUUCACCUGGCUCAGUGCAGUGAGCCAAGGCCAUGUUCACCUUACCUGCCUGGGUCAGAUAGAGGUCCGGAAACUCUCAUUGGUAAAAUGGAGACAUUUGGGAGGUGAGACUGUGGAAAUGGAAGGCUUAACCCCCUUUUCUCACUUCCCAGGAGGAAACAGGGGACUGUACUUUCUUGGCAGGAAAUACUAGGGCCUCACUGAUGGGGUGGUAUCUCCUGUGGACAGAUUUCUCAUAAGAAGGGAGUCAGUUUGCCUAUAAAAUCUCUGGGGAAAUGCCCUAUGGGUCAAGUAGUUAGAAUUCUGAACCUCUACUGCAGGGGGCCUGGGUUUGAUUCCUGGUCGAAGAACUAAGAUCCCACAAGCUGCCUGGUGUGACCAAAAAAAGUCUCCCCUGAAACACCAAGGUUCCAUGGUUGAGGGAGACAGCCACAAAAGCUUUCUCUGAAACCUGUCUUCAGGACCAGGCACCUGCCUGGGUGGAGGGGGAGCCUCAGCUGUGAAAACCCUUCAUCCUGGGGCGGGGAGUGCUGAGGGAAGGAGGAUGGGCCCCAAGCCCGGUGUAGGUCCCGCCCCAGGGAGAGGUCCUUUUGGGUCUCUGGGAAAGAGGGAGGGCUUCUCAGUGGUACUCAGGGAAAUAAGAGAGAAAAAAGGAAGCAGGUGGCCACCCAAAUGAAAAAAGAGAGAGAGAGAGAGAAAGAAACAAAACUGGGUGAUAACAACAGAUAACAAAUCUAAGGACAUUUUCAUGGAACUCGCCCAUCUUUUUGAGAUGGAAAUGAGUCUGAGCCUAAAGUCACAUUUUUUCUCCUGAUUCCCUUUGUCUUUUUAAAAAAGCAACUUUUACUUACAGAAAUAAUUCACAGUACCCUUGUAACACAUAC